rnacentral:SRP_RNA from 1 species
CGGAAGGCUGGCGCGGACGUAAUCCUCGCAAACCUGGUCAGGUCCGGAAGGAAGCAGCCAAUGUGGGACGUUGCGGGUCGCGUCCAGUCUUCCACCU